UCCCCUCCCCUGGGCGUUUGCGGUCGGUGGGUACCCCGUCUUUGAGUCUCCGUCGCCUUGGGACCUUGUCCCGUGUCCGGCCACUGGCGCCGCGCCCACGUUCCCUCCAGUGAGAUGUUUACAGUGCUUUCAGGGUCAUUUCUAGGAGGCAGCUAUGAGAGCAAAGUGGUGUCGAGACCAUAUGGAUGGUGUGUGUGACUGAGGCUCCAUUAAGGCCUCUCAAAAUGCUUAAGAUUCUGGGAGAUGGAUGUGGAGAUCUACCCACCUUGUAGCUGCCCAAGACAAGCCUCACAUCUGGGACAUCUGUAUUCUCCUGUGUUCAGAUUUGGACUGUGUCGACUGAAAAGAUGCUCAACUUGAGAGCUGUGAGUUAAGUUUUAUUGGGGGCAAAACGGGGACUGCAGCCUGGGAGGCAGCACCUCAGGUAGCUCUGAGAGACUGCACCAAAGAGGCAGUCGGGAAGGUCAAUACACAAGAUUUUGGUGAAGAGGAAGUUCAGUAUAAUUAUUUCAGUUCAGUUCGGUCACUCAAUCAUGUCCAACUCUCUGCAACCCUAUGGACUGCAGCA